UGUGUGGUUAUUGCAGGGCGUGUGCGGUUUGCUCCCGCCGUAAGUGGACCGAAGCAAUGAAUGCUUCUCGGGGACGGCAGGUGGUGUCGGCGGACACCUCGCGACGAUCUUGAGCUUACCGGAGCUUCACCAUCGAUUACAUCCUGAAUGAACCUGGGACGUCUCCCGCCAGUACCAACGGCAGGCAGGCAGACUUCUCCAGUCUGCAGCCGGCGUCGGAGCGGCGGCAGCCCACCGGCAGUGCUGACCUAGAAGAGUUCACCACGGCUGGAGACCAGGGUGACGCCGAGUCAACUACUGCACGUGAGCCAGCCGCCAUCCCCAACACCUGUACCAACACCGAUCAUAUUAUGGAAUGACUAGCCGCGGGAGUGUGCAGUUAACCAGGAGAAAAAUCACCAGAGGGCAUUGGAAGCGGUCUGCCGGGCCUCCUACCAGCCGCGCGUCAUCUGCCGGCGGGUGGGCCGUCUCACACGGGACGAUGCCGUCAGCCGGUGCUGUCGUGCCUCGGUGUCAGCCUAUCCGGCCGCGGUCCAGACCCCCUAUGAUCAGCUGCCGGCGCCAGCCCUGCCCUGGACGGCGUCUUACAAGACGUACUGAACACGGCGCGGGCAGAAGACGGCGCCGGCACACAACGACGCCUGCCUCAACGGCUCUCUGGACCGCUUCAAGUGCACGAUGUGUGAGAGGACGGGCUUCAUCAAUAGCGACCAACUGGCGCUCCAUAUUACGUCACGUAGUGCGGAGGCGUCGCGUCAGAGCCGCUGCGUCAUUUGUGCGGUUGGCUUCCGUGCGGCACAGCAGCGGCCGAAGCGCGUGGGAGGCUCCCAGCACAAGGGCCUUACAGUUCAUAGCGGAAUUCCUCCCAGAGAACGUACUCUACCAGCGCUGGUUGAAUUGCAAAGAACCUACUGCAGCUUCUUGGCGCCCUCGUCAGCUGUGGUGUCUACUCGCCAAGCAUUUCGGGUCGGAGCACUUCCUUCCAAAUGUUCGGCAGUAUAUAUUGUACCAGGUGUCCAUGCGGCAUGUUGUACUAGUGAUGCAGUGUACCGACAAUAUGUCAUUGACUGGCCUACUGUUCAUAAGUGACCAGCAUAAUGUCCAUAGCAUGUUGUCAUCCAGAAAAAAGUCGACAUUUACAUUGCCUACGUAAACCUAUCAUUUCUACCUGAGCAAGCGAACUCGAAGUGGCAGCAGUUACUUGGCUAGGUCAGUUACGGUGAAUCACGAAAGCAGUUACUUGGCUAGGUCAGUUACGGUGAAUCACGAAAAGCACAGACGAGUGCAUUUUGUCUACAUACCAUAAUAUAUUUAGCUUGCUUGCGAGGUAACUUACUCGACGACGAAAAAACGCGCAGCUCCACAAUGUGAUGCAAUUUCCCCCAGGGUGAGGCAAAUUGUCCCACGUAAAGGGAGGACAUUAAGAAUUAAUAUACCAAAAACCGAAGACAUGCUCUCCAAAACCUUACGGCCACGUAUGAAGCUGGGGUUAUAGCUGUCUGCAAAUAUGAUAGUCCUCGCCAGUUAUAGCAGGAGGUAACUCAGGGUAAAAACACGUAUGACCCUCCCUAGCCCCCGAAAUAAAUGUCUCUCUCCCAUUCAGGUAAAGCUAGGAAUCCGUGCCUACCUACAUAGCGGCAACUUAACGUGCGUUUCGAUUUAAUUCCUUUACGUGGCAACAUUUCGCUCAGCUCAUCUGAAGAGACUUCCAUUCAUCCAUUUCUUCACUGUCAAGCCCCUAGGAUGUUUGUUCCUGUUCGCGCAGAAGCUGCGGGUACCCACCCUAGGGGGGCACCCAGGGGUGGCGCCACCAGGGGCAAGGGGUCAGCCGCCUUCUUGUACGCCAAGAGGAAACAAACAAACAAAAAUAUAUAGGUUCUCCUUGAAAUUUAAGGAGGCUCUAACUGACCGACAGAAGGCAGCAAACGAACGGGACAUGUAUUGCGUGCUUGAACAGUCUAGAGAGUUGUGUAGGAACUAGCUCGUUCGGCGCGGCGCUAACGCAGCGGGCCCGGGCAGCCCGUGGCAGCCAGUGCGGCAGUCGCGCAGUCUGCGCGGUCGGCGGAAUGCGCUGUCCACAUGGUGCGAAUGGAAGCCCCGGAGCACUUUCCAGAAUCCGACGAAGCCACCGUUGUUUGGGUCCGGGACCUGUUUGCGUAUGCCCCAAACAACCCAUGACUGGCUAGCACACCGAACGCAAAAGCCAAGCAACCCACAUUUGGAGUUAAAUGUUCGGUUGAUUACGCAUUACGAGACAGCUCCUUCCAUACUCAUAUCUCAGUUUACCAGCUCGUUUUGGUCGGACCGUAUGCAAUGUAUGCAAUACAGAAUGCAAUGCGUGCAUGCUGUGGCACUGUGGCACCGUGUGACACAUGACACAUGGCACUAUUGUGAUUCGGCACUUCG
rnacentral:lncRNA from 1 species